rnacentral:rRNA from 1 species
UCUUGACCUCAAAUCAGGCAAGGCUACCCGCUGAAUUUAA